AAGCUGGCCAAUGAAUCUGCUUAAUUGAAUGUGUUUCUGCAGAAAUAUAGAGAAAGCUGGCAAUAGUAAAGCCAUGUUACGAGUCUUAAAGACAUUGAUGUCAUUAAGGUCCCUGAAAAUGGCUACAAGA
ensembl:snoRNA